rnacentral:lncRNA from 1 species
CCAACCACCAGAGUCACAUCCUGCAGGUUACUCAGUGACAUCAAAGCUCCUGGGAAAUGUUGAUGUGAUCCUGUUGGUGAUUGGUUUCCUCAUCAUAAUGUGGUAUGAGAAUAUAUUAUAGUUUUAUAUUCUACAUUCCUGACUCCACCCCCAUGAAGAGCCAUGUUUCAAGACCACAGGAUGGUCAAUAUUGGAUUAAUUGCUACUGGACUUAACAUUGCUAAGUGAAAGGGGCAAGUUGGAGAGAACUGUAUGUCACUAUCUAGUUAAGGUCAAAUAUGCGAAGAUAAUAUCUGUUUAUAGUUUUUUUUAAAUAGAAUAAACAAUAAAAUAAAUUUAGACGGCUAUCUAUUUAGGGGAGAAGGGGAAAUAGCUAGAGGAGACAGGGCAAAAAGCUAGACUUUUUUGAAAAUAACUGACAAUAAAAAUGUGACUGUGAAACAGUGUAAAUAUGUUAAUUUUGAAAGUAUAAUCAAAUACAAAGGCAAAACCUAAAUGUCAAAAUAAAAAUAAACAAAUGAAGAAAAAUAUGCACCUAGUAAGUGACACACUAUGCAGAAAGGGAAUAUUCCAAGGGAUUCCUGAAUUUAGGCAUUUAGUUGUACUGUCAAAUUGAGUAGUGCACUGUGGUCAAUAAAUAAACAAAAUAAAAAUGUAAAAUAAGAUCCUAAA